GGUUCCAGUGACAAUGAAGACUGAGGUGUGUGCUCUGCGCUUUUUUCUUGUCUUUUUUUUUUUUUUUUCCUAAUCAUGUGGACAUCUCUGAGAAUGAAGGGACUGGGUGACUUUACAGUGGCUGCUUUCUAAGUUUCAAAGUGACUUUCCAGGCAAGCUGAGCAUAUCUUGGGAUCUUCACAGCACAGUGGCUGGGAAGGCAGACCGUCUAUCAGCUUCUCCCUGAAUAACUGGGAGCUGAAACAGGAAGCCCCAUGACACAGUUGAUCGAAAAUGACACAGACACAGAAAAAUCAGGACGUGCCCCCAGCAGCACCCCUACCUGCUGCCUGCUGAUCGAAGCUGGGAGGCCCGUGAAGGGUUUCCACCAGGAAUGAACUCUACUCCAUACUCACGGGUGAUGGGCCUGCAAUCCUUGCUUUGGUGAUGUUCUUUUACAGCUGGUUUGUUUGUUUGUUUAAUUAAUUAGUUAGUCUACUAUUACUUUAUUUAUUGGCCCUCUUCCAUGUCGUGAUCUUUUCUUCAUUAAAAGCAAAACUAAAGAAAAUGAAA
rnacentral:lncRNA from 1 species